rnacentral:misc_RNA from 1 species
UACGGAGGGUGCAAGCGUUGUCCGGAUUUAUUGGGUUUAAAGGGCGCGUAGGCGGCUAUUUAAGUCAGUGGUGAAAUCCUCCAGCUUAACUGGAGAACUGCCAUUGAUACUGGGUAGCUUGAGUACAGACGAGGUAGGCGGAAUUGACAGUGUAGCGGUGAAAUGCAUAGAUAUUGUCAAGAACACCGAUUGCGAAGGCAGCUUACUAGACUGUAACUGACGCUGAGGCACGAAAGUGCGGGGAUCAAACAGG